rnacentral:lncRNA from 1 species
UUUGUUCAGGCUACCAUGUGUUGGUUCAGCCUACUAGGUCGCUAUGAGUCAUUCUGGAAGGAGCUUGAUGGUGUCAAGCAGGUAUGGAAGAACAGGAAGGACCUCACAGUGAGGACCUUGGGAUUGCGAUUUUAUUCGAGGGAUCGGAGAGGUGUGGACUUAUUGGUUCAUCAGUGAGGUCUUGCCGACCCUACGAACAAGGAGACACAAAAGGGGUAAGUGAGGAGCCGACGCGACCAAGCAAGCAAAUGAACGAAUAGACAAAACAAAACAAGAGAUAGAGAGACUGGGGGUCUUGAAAGGGACAGGGAGCUGGCCGCACAUGCUAUCGUCGACGAUGACAACUUUGAG